AGUGAACGCUGGCGGUAGGCCUAACACAUGCAAGUCGAACGGCAGCACAGUAAGAGCUUGCUCUUACGGGUGGCGAGUGGCGGACGAGUGAGGAAUACAUCGGAAUCUACUUUUUCGUGGGGGAUAACGUAGGGAAACUUCCGCUAAUACCGCAUACGACCUACGGGUGAAAGCAGGGGAUCUUCGGACCUUGCGCGAUUGAAUGAGCCGAUGUCGGAUUAGCUAGUUGGCAGGGUAAAGGCCCACCAAGGCGACGAUCCGUAGCUGGUCUGAGAGGAUGAUCAGCCACACUGGAACUGAGACACGGUCCAGACUCCUACGGGAGGCAGCAGUGGGGAAUAUUGGACAAUGGGCGCAAGCCUGAUCCAGCCAUACCGCGUGGGUGAAGAAGGCCUUCGGGUUGUAAAGCCCUGUUGUUGGGAAAGAAAAGCAGCAGGUGAAUACCCCGCUGUUCUGACGGUACCCAAAGAAUAAGCACCGGCUAACUUCGUG
rnacentral:rRNA from 1 species